GAUGAACGCUGGCGGCGUGCCUAAUACAUGCAAGUCGAGCGAACGGACGAGAAGCUUGCUUCUCUGAUGUUAGCGGCGGACGUGCGAGUAACACGUGUAUAACCUACCUAUAAGACUGGGAUAACUUCGGGAAACCGGAGCUAAUACCGGAUGAUAUUUUGAACCGCAUGGUUCAAAAGUGAAAGACGGUCUUGCUGUCACUUAUAGAUGGAUCCGCGCUGCAUUAGCUAGUUGGUAAGGUAACGGCUUACCAAGGCAACGAUGCAUAGCCGACCUGAGAGGAUGAUCGGCCACACUGGAACUGAGACACGGUCCAGACUCCUACGGGAGGCAGCAGUAGGGAAUCUUACGCAAUGGGCGAAAGCCUGACGGAGCAACGCCGAGUGAGUGAUGAAGGUCUUCGGAUCGUAAAACUCUGUUAUUAGGGAAGAACAUAUGUGGAAGUAAAUGUGAACAUAUUGACGGUACCUAAUCAGAAAGCCACGGCUAACUACGUG
rnacentral:rRNA from 1 species